rnacentral:rRNA from 1 species
UACGUAGGCAGCGAGCGUUGUUCGGAGUUACUGGGCGUAAAGGGUGUGCAGGUGGCGCCGUAAGUCGGGUGUGAAAUUUUAGAGCUUAACUCUGAAACUGCAUUCGAUACUGCGGUGCUUGAGGACUGGAGAGGAGACUGGAAUUUACGGUGUAGCAGUGAAAUGCGUAGAUAUCAGUAGGAACACCAAUGGCGAAGGCAGCUUGCUGGCAUGUAUCUGACGCUAAGGCACGAAAGCGUGUGGAGCGAACAGG